GAUGAACGCUAGCGGCAGGCCUAAUACAUGCAAGUCGAACGGGAUCCAGAUCAAAGCUUGCUUUGGUCUGGUGAGAGUGGCGCACGGGUGCGUAACGCGUGAUCACCCUACCCUUGUCAGGGGGAUAGCCCGGCGAAAGUCGGAUUAAUACCGCAUGACAUCAUUGUGAGGCAUCUUUCGAUGAUCAAAGAUUUAUCGGACAAGGCUGGGCUCGCGUGACAUUUGCUAGUUGGUAAGGUAACGGCUUGCCAAGGCUGGGAUGUCUAGGGGCUCUGAGAGGAGAAUCCCUCAGACUGGUACUGGGAAAAGGACGAGAGAGAUACGGCAGGCAGCAGUAAGGAAGAUAGGAGAAGGGACGGAAGUCUGAACCAGCCAAGCCGCGUGCAGGAAGACGGCGUGAUGGGUGGUAAACUGCUUGUAUACGGGAACAAACGUCGGUAAGGGUACCGGACUGAGUGUACAGUAAAAAUAAGGAUCGGCUAACUACGUG
rnacentral:rRNA from 1 species